UACGUAGGGUGCGAGCGUUAAUCGGAAUAACUGGGCGUAAAGGGUGCGCAGGCGGUUGGUUAAGUCAGCUGUGAAAUCCCCGGGCUUAACCUGGGCAUGGCAGUUGAGACUGGACAGCUGGAGUGUGUCAGAGGGGGGUAGAAUUCCACGUGUAGCAGUGAAAUGCGUAGAGAUGUGGAGGAACACCGAUGGCGAAGGCAGCCCCCUGGGAUAACACUGACGCUCAGGCACGAAAGCGUGGGGAGCAAACAGG
rnacentral:rRNA from 1 species